rnacentral:lncRNA from 1 species
AUCUCAAGGCUAUCAAGAGCUCUUGGAAGGGAGUUCUACCUGGUCUCUCUUUACCCAGGUGUAUCCUCCAUGCACGGUGUAGCCGGGAAGGAAGACCUGGCAGGGCUCUGUGACUGGGAAACAGCUGAGUUCCUUCCUGUUUCUGCUGCAAACCAGGGCAAAGCCAGCUGAACCUAGCCUUUUGCAGCAGUUUCCUGUGUGAAGCAUGCAUGGUUGGCCUGGGGCGAAGUUCCACAGAGGUUAACUAAGGCAUGGACUGAGAAGAUAACUUCAUGGCUCAUCUCAUUUCUGUGCAUGCUGUUAGUACUUUCCUGGUCCUCCGUGGCCCUCCUUGGGAUUGGAUAUCUGAGCUGUCAGGAGGAAUGCCCUUUGAGCCUGGACUUCAGUGAGUCACAGAGAGAGGUCACAUGA